rnacentral:rRNA from 1 species
GACAGAGGGUGCAAACGUUGCUCGGAAUCACUGGGCGUAAAGGGCGUGUAGGCGGUUUCGUAUGUCUGGCGUGAAAGCCCCGGGCUCAACCCGGGAAGUGCGUUGGAAACUGCGAAACUAGAGUCUCGGAGAGGAAGGUGGAAUUCCAGGUGUAGCGGUGAAAUGCGUAGAUAUCUGGAGGAACACCGGUGGCGAAGGCGACAUCCUGGACCGGUAUUGACGCUGAGGCGCGAAAGCCAGGGGAGCAAACGGG